AUAUUCAGAACUAUGUUUUCAUUAGUGUAUAAUCACCUGAAACUAAGAAUCGUUGUGUUUCCGUUAGCUUAGAAUGAGCCUUUCAUAUCUACAUAGGGAGCCGAUCCUCUUCAAGGAAUCCACCAUGUUGGUGUACUCAGUUGGUUGCAAUCUGCAACCACACCAUUAGAUGCCGCCAAAUCCUACACACUGUCCCUUUAAAUACACCUAAUAAACACCUCUAAUGACCAAUCACUUCUCUCAGGUCCUGCCUCUAAACCCAUUACUAUUCAGACUGACAUUCUUGUAUGGCCUUCACCCAAGCGAGCUGAAAAGCAUCAGGGUGAUCCGUAGUUACCAGGCAACCGUGAGUAGCUGUAGAGAGCAUGCUGCUGAAAGUCUCAGGACUUGGAAAUGGAAGAAAGUUAAGUGGACUGGAUCUGUUGAUCAUCACUUGACAGAUAAGGCUGUCACAUCUGGAUCCAUCCCAGAAAAGCAACCCAUUCAGGCUUUGAGCUGCACCGCAUCGCCACACCUGAAUCUGACCUGAGCCGCAGUGAUGAUGACAGACCUGAGAGGUGCACCUGCUGUCUGACAGGGGGAUUCUACUGUUCCCUUGAACUUCACACCUUCAGGAUGAUGUUACAGGAGAGGCAAUAUGCCAGCACACUUCUGCUGAGCUCAGCAUCUGUCCUGUAUGUGGAAACAGAUGGCUGCUGGCAUACAAAACAUGCUGUGAUGACAUUGAUUUUAUAUACACUUACUGUACAUAUGGGAUCUGUCAUUUUGAACCCCUAUGUGUGUGUGCUCUGGACAAAACUGGAGUUAGUUUUCCACUUGAGCUUCAAGUCAACAGUAUAAUUAAAAAUGUUUUUUUGGGGUUAAAUGAAAAAAAAAAAGUUAAUAAUUCUGCCAGCUGGUUUUGGACAAAUGCCUUCAACUUCGAGGUUAAUUUUAUUGCUUUUAUGCCGCUAUGUCGAGGAGCCAAAACAAAAGAAUGUUUCUCUCUUGUACCUGUAUGAGAUAUAACAAUAAAGGAGUCUUGAAUCUUGGUCGUGUUGAAGGGGAACUAUACCCAGUUUCAAAAUGCAUAACUGUUAUUCCUUAUGGAGGACGGAAACUGCCAAAAUAAAAAAAUAAGUAAAUAUGAGCAACUGCAGUCGAACGUUUAUGAAAGCAGUACUGUAGACUGUAUGUGUUUAGUGUCUGCCAGCUGGACCUACGUCUGCACUUUGAUGCCUUAAAAAUGCUAUUAUUUAAUAAAUCUGUUCCAUUUAGUUUC